UACGGGGGGAGCAAGCGUUGUUCGGAUUUACUGGGCGUAAAGGGCGCGUAGGCGGUCUUUUAAGUUCCGUGUGAAAUCCCUCGGCUCAACUGGGGAACGGCACGGGAAACUGGGAGGCUUGAGUUCGGGAGAGGGAAGCGGAAUUCCGGGUGUAGCGGUGAAAUGCGUAGAUAUCCGGAGGAACACCGGUGGCGAAGGCGGCUUCCUGGACCGACACUGACGCUGAGGCGCGAAAGCUAGGGGAGCAAACGGG
rnacentral:rRNA from 1 species